GACGAACGCUGGCGGCGUGCCUAAUACAUGCAAGUCGAGCGGGGUUUAUAGCGAUCUUCGGAUCAACAUAAACCUAGCGGCGAACGGGUGAGUAACACGUAGGCAACCUGCCUGUAAGAUCGGGAUAACUUGCGGAAACGUGAGCUAAUACCGGAUGUGCUGGAGUCCAUGCCUGUGGCCUUAAGGAAAGACGGAGCAAUCUUGCCCUUACAGAUGGCGCUGCGGCGCAUUAGCUGGUUGGUGAGGUAACGGCUCACCAAGGGGACGAUGCGUAGCCGACCUGAGAGGGUGACCGGCCACACUGGGACUGAGACACGGCCCAGACUCCUACGGGAGGCAGCAGUAGGGAAUCUUCGGCAAUGGACGCAAGUCUGACCGAGCAACGCCGCGUGAGUGAAGAAGGUUUUCGGAUCGUAAAACUCUGUUGCCAGAGAAGAAAACCAAGGAGAGUAACUGCUCCUUGGGUGACGGUAUCUGAGAAGAAAGCCCCGGCUAACUACGUGCCAGCAGCCGCGGUAAAAC
rnacentral:rRNA from 1 species